rnacentral:rRNA from 1 species
AACGUAGGUGGCGAGCGUUAUCCGGAUUCAUUGGGCGUAAAGCGCUUGUAGGUGGCCUUGUAAGUUGGACGUGAAAUCUCCCGGCUUAACCGGGCGGGGUCGUUCAAUACUGCAGGGCUGGAGGAUGUCAGAGGGCAGCGGAAUUCCUGGUGUAGCAGUGAAAUGCGUAGAUAUCAGGAGGAACACCCGUGGCGAAGGCGGCUGCCUGGGGCAUCACUGACACUGAGAAGCGAAAGCUAGGGGAGCGAACGGGAUUAGAAACCCCGGUAGUCCUAGCCGUAAACGAUGGACGCUAGGUGUAGGCAGAUCUAACCCUGCCUGUGCCGAAGCCAACGCGUUAAGCGUCCCGCCUGGGAAGUACGAGCGCAAGCUUAAA